rnacentral:rRNA from 1 species
GUCCUUUAGAAUUUGAUUUAAGGUCUGGCCUGCCCACUGAAUUAUUUUAAAUGGCCGCAGUAAUUUGACUGUGCAAAGGUAGCAUAAUCAUUAGUUUUUUAAUUGAAAGCUUGAAUGAAGGGCUGGACGAAGUAAAAUCUGUCUCUAAUUAAUUUACUUUAGAAUUUAACUUUUAAGUCAAAAGGCUUAAAUUUCAUUAAAAGACGAGAAGACCCUAUAGAUCUUUAUAAUUUAUUUAUUAAUUUUAAUUAAGAAUUUUUUAAAUUUUAUUAAUAUAAUUAUUUUAUUGGGGUAAUGUAAAGAUUGAUUUAAUUCUUUUUUGUUAUUAACAUUAAUGUAUGUAUUUAGGAUCCAAUUAUAUUGAUUAUAAGAUUAAGUUACCUUAGGGAUAACAGCGUAAUUUUUUUAGAGAGUUCUUAUCGAUAAAAAAGUUUGCGACCUCGAUGUUGGAUUAAAGAUUAUUUCAGGUGCAGAAGUUUGAAAAAUUUGGUCUGUUCGACCAUUAAAUCUUUACAUGAUCUGAGUUCAGACCGGCGUAAGCCAGGUCGGUUUCUAUCUUUAAUAAAUUAAAAUAUUUUAGUACGAAAGGACCAAUUAUUUAAUAUAAAAUAUUUAAAUUUUGAUUAUUAAUA